rnacentral:lncRNA from 1 species
AAUAUUCACCUUACAAUGUUAGUGUAUACCCAACCAUAGAGAAAUCUAUUAAAAGUCAUCUCGCUGCAUCCCCAGGGAAAGCGCAUUCAUGGUAUGCCCUGUAUGGUAUGCCCUGUACGGUAUGCAAGGUUCACAGCCGAAGGAAGAGAGGGCCCAAGUGCAAAAACAUCUUUAAGCGAACGUCGGUCGCCACGUGCACUUACUGUGUACCUCCCACCCCAAACCUCAGGAUAGAAAGACAUAAAUGGGUCCAGAAGCCACAGAAGCGUCUUCCUCCCUGCUCCUAGUCAUCCCUUUCGCUUUCCAUUCUCACCUGGCCUCCCCCAGGCCUCGCCUUCUUCCCUCUUUACUCCAUUCCCUAACUCCUGCCUCGUAGGCAGCGGUGGGGAGCCGCAGGCUGCUCCCCGAGUCCCAACGCUACUAGGGUGCUGUAACAGUGAUGAGGCGGCGUUGCAGUCUGGCUAGGCGCUGCAGCGGGCACCAGCUACGUUUUGCUGUCGGCGGCAGUUACCCGGACGCAAGUUAAGGGGGUCAUCUAUCUUCUGAGGCAUCUUCCUUCUCUCGGGAUUCUAUUUGGGUAGCUCUCUUCAAUUCCCCAAACAGAACAACUGUUAGUAUUUCACAAAGGCCUUCAGUACAUCUUUAUUAAUCUGACUGCCUGGUUGCAGUUACAUUUGAGAAUAAGACUGAGAUCAAAUUCCACGUUUAGAGUGAGAAAUGACUGCAGUUGAAGACUUGGUUGCAAGAGUCUAAGAAGACACCUCAGGGAGAGAGACAGGAUCCAAAACAAGAUUGCUGGCUGAGGAAUGGGACAAGUCACCAGCUCAGAAGUCUCAGGACCAGCGACAUCAAGAGCAGGAAGUGGCCAGUGCCUCAACUUCACUCCCCUCUCCCUCCUGGAACAGGCCCUCCAUCACCGUAGAUAAUUCAUGUCACUGAAUGGAACAUGUAAGCCAUCUCACUUCUUUUUGUCUUCACAAAUGCUUUAAACACAGGCUUGGAAAAUCUGUGGGCUUCUCACACGUUCUCAGAUAUAUUCCUUUGCACCUAACUGGAGUGAAAUGAUAUGGUGCUCAGUGGAAGGAAUCUGGUUGUGCCAGCAGAGGUUGGGGCUAUGGAACCAUGUAACUGGAAGCAAGCAGUGAAAGAAACCUGGAAACUCCUGUCACCCUGUGCCUCAGUGCAGGCUGGCUCAGCAGCAUCAACUUAAUGUUCUGUGUGGGAUGCUAGCACAUUUGUGUUUGGAGCCUGGUAAUUAGAUUGUGAGCAGGAGGCAAAAUCCCAGCAAUCUGGUGGCAUGGACAAAUCUUGGUGUCAGAAGGCAUGGUGUGUUGAGGCUUAACAAUCUCAGCUCUAUUUUUGUCUAUCACCCCUUUGAUACAUGUCAAAAAA